rnacentral:rRNA from 1 species
AACGAACGCUGGCGGCGUGCCUAACACAUGCAAGUUGAACGGGGUAUAAUUUGUAGUAAUACAAAUUAUACUUAGUGGCGGACGGGUGAGUAACACGUAGGUAACCUACCCUUAAGCUGGGGACAACUCAGGGAAACUUGAGCUAAUACCCGAUAAGACUACGGGCUGGGAGGCUUGUAGUAAAAGGAGCAAUUCACUUAAGGAUGGGCCUGCGGCCUAUCAGGUAGUUGGCGGGGUAACGGCCCACCAAGCCAGAGACGGGUAGCCGGGCUGAGAGGUCGAACGGCCACACUGGAACUGAGACACGGUCCAGACUCCUACGGGAGGCAGCAGUGGGGAAUAUUGCGCAAUGGGGGAAACCCUGACGCAGCGACGCCGCGUGGAGGAUGAAGGUCUUCGGGUUGUAAACUCCUUUUCUUGGGAAAGAUAAUGACGGU